AUGGUUAGGCUAAGUGUGCCUGUGGCUGUGGUCAUGCCUUGGUUAGCUCUCCUGCUCAUGGCCGUGCUAGCUGCCCGGCUGAUCCAUUUGCUAUUGAUGAGAUGGAACAGCAGUAGCCCAUACAAGGUAGCAGGGGCGGCAGCUGCAAGGCUGCCGCCGGGGUCGAGGGGCUUCCCCGUCAUUGGCGACACGCUCGAGUUCUUCAGCCAAAGCCCAUCGCUCGAGCUGGUCCCCUUCUUCAAGCGACGUCUUGAGCGGUAUGGUCCAAUUUUUAGGACAAGUUUGUUUGGUGAAGACCUCAUAGUUUCCAUGGACAAAGAGCUGAACAACUUGGUGUUCCAGCGAGAGGAGAAGCUAUUCCAAAUCUGGUACCCGGAGUCGGUCAUGAGAAUCUUUGGAGCCGACAGCAUCAUCUCAAAACUUGGGUCCUUCCACAGGCACAUGAGGAGUCUAGUCCUUAGGCUCUUUGGCCCUAAAAAUCUCAGGCUAGUCAUGCUCCAUGAUGCUCAGCGAACGGUCCAGACCAGCCUGCUCUUGUGGCUCAAUCAACCCAGCAUUGAACUGAAAGAGGCAACUGCAAGUAUGAUAUUCAGCAUCACAUCAAAGAGGUUAAUCAGCUAUGACUCCUCAAACUCAGAUGGGAAGCUCUGGAAGCAAUUCGAUGCAUUCUUUCAGGGAAUGCUAGCAUUUCCACUCUACAUCCCUGGCACGGCAUUCUACAAAUGUAUGCAGGGACGAAAGUAUGUCAUGGCGACUUUGAGGAAGAUGCUAGAUGAGAGGAUGAGGGCAUCACAUCAAGAGAGCGCCGACUUUCUCGAUCUACUGAUCGAUGAUUUGAAAGAGGAGAAGCAUUUAAUGAAUGAGAAAAUUGCGUUGGAUUUGCUCUUCUUGUUGCUCUUCGCCGGCUUUGAGACCACGUCAUCCGCGAUAACUGCCACAGUCAAACUCCUAACAGACAAUCCGAAAGCGCUACAGGAACUUACAGAGGAGCACGAGAACAUCCGGAAAAGAAGGGUUGACCCUGACUCCGAAAUCACAUGGGAGGAAUACAAGUCCAUGAAAUUUACGUCUCAUGUCAUACACGAAGCAUUAAGGCUGAUUAACAUUGCUCCGAUAAUGUUUAGAAAAGCUACAGAGGAUGUUCAUGUAAAAGGUUACAUUAUACCAAAAGGAUCAAAGAUCAUGAUUAACCCUUCUAUUGUUCAUCUGGAUCCUACAAUUUACGAGGACCCCAAUGCAUUCAAUCCAUGGAGGUGGAAGGGUACUGCUGAACCAGUUAGUGGUGCCCCCAAGGAAUUCAUGGCUUUUGGAGGCGGGCUGCGGUUAUGUGUUGGUUCAGACUUUGCUAAGCUACAGGUGGCUAUCUUCCUUCAUUGCUUAGUUACUAAAUACAGAUGGAAUGUGAUCAAGGGAGGAACCAUGGUGCUUUCUCCUGGACUACAAUUUCCUGGUGGUUUUCACAUCCAACUUCUCCCAAAAGCUUGA
rnacentral:rRNA from 1 species